AGGAAAUUUGAGAGGAGCUGUCCUUAGUACGAGAGGACCGGGAUGGACACACCGCUGGUGUACCAGUUGUUCCGCCAGGAGCAUCGCUGGGUAGCUAUGUGUGGCAGGGAUAAACGCUGAAAGCAUCUAAGCGUGAAGCCCCCCUCAAGAUGAGAUUUCCCAUUUCUUCGGAAAGUAAGAUCCCUGAAAGAUGAUCAGGUAGAUAGGUUUGGAGUGGAAGUGUAGCGAUACAUGGAGCGGACAAAUACUAAUCGAUCGAGGACUUAACCAAAA
rnacentral:rRNA from 1 species